CGCUCAGAAGAAAAUGUGAUGGGGCCUCCAAUUGCCUCUUCUACGCGGUGGCCCGCAGCAGAGGGAAGGGAAUUCGCAAAAACAAUACGGUCUAUACACAAAACAAAUUAAUGAUUUUCCUGUUUUGCAAGCUUUCCUCUAAAAAUGAAAAACGGAAACUUAUUCAACUUGUAUCGGGGCACCUCAUGCUCUGGUAGACCAAUCACAACUUCUUUAAUAAUAGAAAACAGACUGCCGGAGCAUGGGGGGAAAUAGCCAGGCAUCUGGCGACCACCGUGGCCAGAUGCCAGAAAGUUUGGCACCAGCUCCGGUACAAGUACCGAGCAAUAAGGAUACGUGAGCUGGCAGCGAUUAAAGAAACAGGAUAUCCCCCCCAAAAUGUGAUGGGGCCUCCAAUUGCCUCUUCCACGCUGCGACCCGCUGCGGAAUAGGAGAGCGUCGCAUCGGAGGGAAGGGAAAAGAGUGCAGUUGGAGGCGCCCAUUACGAACGACGGGUCUACUGAGUGAGGCUAUGGAACGCACAAAUCUCUAUUAUAAAACUCUAGUAAAGGCUGAUCAGUGUUACUUUACAGCAGAUUCUUGGAUGAUUUUAUUUAGUUUAUUUGUGUUAGUUAGUUAGUUAGUAGUUAAUGUUUUUAGAUACAUUUUAUGGAUUUUUAUUAACUCGCAAAAACAAGACGGUCUAUACACAAAACAAAUUAAUAAUUUUCCUAUUUUGCAAGCAUUCGUCUAAAAACGAAAAACAGAAAUUGAUCCGGCUUGUAUCGGAGCACCCUAUGCUCUGGCAGAGCGAUCAUAUCUUCUAUAACAAGAGUGUAAAAUGGGGGUACCAGGAUAGUAAUACACAACGCUUUAGUUAUCGUAGUUCGAGAAAAAAGAAGGGCCUUUAUUAUCUAAGCAAUUGGCUUAUUUGCAAUUGGCAAUUGGCCACUCACGGUAACUCAUGUCUUACUCGGAAAUGAUCGUAUCCGAUUUAUUGUGGUCCAACCUGACUACGCAGUUCUGUCCACCGGGACGCGCCACUCACCGGCAGCAGUCGACGGCUGUCGUAUAAUGUGUGCGUGAAAGGAUGUGCGUGAGUUCCCGGGUCGCUGACCAGAGGAGCAGAAGGGAGAAUAAGGGAGCGAAGAGAGAGAGGGAGUAUACACAUUCGUUCGGUAGGGCUAGAUUAGGGAAAACGGGCCCGUUUUAGUAUUAGGAAUAGGGAAUAAAGAUUUUAUAGUAAUUUGUGUGUCGAUCCAUAUAA